rnacentral:ncRNA from 1 species
UGAAACCGACAGGGGAGCGCUGAGGCGCUGAGAGUGCGGCCGCGACCGCAGACCCUCACACACCUGAUCUGGGUAAUGCCAGCGCAGGGAGUCGUGAACCCGUCCGC